rnacentral:rRNA from 1 species
AUGCCUGGCAGUUCCCUACUCUCACAUGGGGAGACCCCACACUACCAUCGGCGCUACGGCGUUUCACUUCUGAGUUCGGCAUGGGGUCAGGUGGGACCACCGCGCUAUCGCCGCCAGGCA